GAAUGACAACUCUCAAUAAAUGC
rnacentral:siRNA from 1 species